AUUGAACGCUGGCGGCAUGCCUUACACAUGCAAGUCGAACGGCAGCACGGGAGCAAUCCUGGUGGCGAGUGGCGAACGGGUGAGUAAUAUAUCGGAACGUGCCCAGUCGUGGGGAUAACGUAGCGAAAGCUACGCUAAUACCGCAUACGAUCUAUGGAUGAAAGCGGGGGAUCGCAAGACCUCGCGCGAUUGGAGCGGCCGAUAUCAGAUUAGGUAGUUGGUGAGGUAAAGGCUCACCAAGCCGACGAUCUGUAGCUGGUCUGAGAGGACGACCAGCCACACUGGGACUGAGACACGGCCCAGACUCCUACGGGAGGCAGCAGUGGGGAAUUUUGGACAAGUGGGCGCAAGCCUGAUCCAGCAAUGCCGCGUGCAGGAUGAA
rnacentral:rRNA from 1 species